rnacentral:lncRNA from 15 species
CCAGGGUGAACCUACCUCUCUGCUGGACCUACAGAGACAGCAGAGGUCCCUGAUGACCUCUAUACUGUCAGCAGCAGAGUGACUGUGGAGAAGAGACACAGCAACAACUUCAUCUGUAGAGUCCAACAGAAGGACAUCCACCAGACCAGAGAGACACACAUUUAUGUUCCAGGUAGAAAAUGAUUUAUAUGUUUAUAUGUACAGUUAAAGGGACACUAUUACACUGUCAAGUUAUAUGUCUAGAGUAAUUAAUUACCACAAAGCCCUGCACAUUGUCACCGUCAAAGAAAGGAGUUUGACUCGCCUUCUGUGGUGUCGUUCCUGUUGAGCUGCAUGGUGGCAGCCAGGCAUUAAGGUUAACAGACAAUAAUGUUCAUAUGUCCUUGUAUUCUGCAGCACAGAAACCUCUCAACAGAUUCAUAUUAGAGACCCGCCUUCUUGAUGUUAAACCAAUAACUAGGACAAAGGACCACAAUGUGAUAACUGACAUGUUGUUGUUCUUUUCAUGAUUUCAGAAGAUUUAUUCAUCGUCCCAUUUAGUUCUGCUGUUCGUAUCGGCAUCAACUUCGCUGUUUGCUUCUUGUGUGUUCUUGUUCUUGUCUUUGCUGUGUGGAAACUGAGGCAUCCCAAAAUCCGAAACAAUACUGAACCGGGAGAAAAGAAGAUCACAUAUAACAGUGUUGCUGAAAUCCAGUCCCUGAUGGAAGGGGAAAGAGACGGAAAGCAGCACAUGACAGAAAAGGAGAAAGCUGAGUAUUUAGAAAAGAAGAAGAAGAAACUUAGUGAAGCAUUACAAAGGAAUGAAGAAGAAUGUAAAUAUAUAGUACAGGCAGUUGAUUCACUGACAGAAUAUAAGGAGGCACUGGACAAACACAAAUCUGAACUUAACCUACACUCUGGUUGUAUGAAUAAACAGCUUGAUUUAGUUAAGAGAUUGUUGAAGGAGGCAUAUACUGAAGAGAAAAAAACGAAUUAUAUGAAUAUGAUAGAAGAUCUGGGGAAGAGAAUAGAAGCAACUAAAAAUCUGUUAGAGGUCACAGAAAAACUGCUCCAGAGAACAGAGAAGGAGAUUGGUCAAAAAACAGAAAGAAAACGUGAACUAGAGCUCUUAAAGGAGCAGAUUAAUAAAUACCUGCAGGAGAAUCAGAGGGCUGAGAUUCAGGUGGAACCUCAGACAGAGCAACCAGAGAGAGAAGAAGGAUAAACAGUAUUUACACUUUAUUAAAAUGAUUUCUGUUCUGCAGGUAAUAUUGAAUUUUUGGGGUUGUGGGCUGUAACUUUUUUUAGCUUCUGAAGGGGGGCAUGCA